rnacentral:lncRNA from 1 species
AGCAUCCAUAUACAAAUUUCAAUGUACUCAUGUCAAGAAAAGAUCCAACUGGAACAAAUAUCAUAAACUCCCCAGAGUCAUCUUCUUCCAGUUCGCAAUUUUGGAGAUGGUUUAUCCAUAAAUCAAACAAAAUACUCAUAUAGAGGGAAAGAUAGAGAGGUGCAGAGCUGAUUACCUGAUUGAAGGAGAUGAAACCCUAGAAGAAAAACAAUAGCCCUAUUACUAUUACGUGAGACCUUCACUUGUGGGAAAUCUCUCGACUGCUGAGAGAUUUUUUUUGUGAGAAUUCUAUGUAGGUUUUUUACCAAAAGUCUCCAAAAGUCCAAUAAAUUAUAAAUUCCCUGAAAGUCUUUCUUAAUUGAAUACUCCGAAACUUAUAGAAACUCUUAUAAAGUUUUAAUUGAAUACCUCGAAACUUAUAGAGACUUUUUAAAAGUCUUUAAAAGUCUCUAUUGAAUACACCGAGACUUUUAGAGAGUCUUUAAAAGUCUCAAUUGAAUACACCGAAACUUUUUAAAUUUUCCAAAGUCUUUAAAAGUCCCAAUUAAAUACACCCCCC